UACGUAGGGGGCAAGCGUUGUCCGGAAUCAUUGGGCGUAAAGCGCGUGUAGGCGGCUCGGUAAGUCCGCUCUGAAAGCCCGGGGCUCAACCCCGGGAGGCGGGUGGAUACUGCUGAGCUCGAGUCCGGAAGAGGAGUGUGGAAUUCCUGGUGUAGCGGUGAAAUGCGCAGAUAUCAGGAGGAAUACCGGUGGUGUAGACGGCUCUCUGGACCGCCACUGACGCUGAGACACGAAAGCGUGGGUAGCAAACAGG
rnacentral:rRNA from 1 species